rnacentral:rRNA from 1 species
CCUACGGGAGGCUGCAGUCGAGAAUCUUUCGCAAUGGACGAAAGUCUGACGAAGCGACGCCGCGUGUGUGAUGAAGGCUCUAGGGUUGUAAAGCACUUUCGCCUGGGAAUACGUACCAGGUAAAGAAGCACCGGCUAACUCCGUGCCAGCAGCUGCGGUAAUACGGAGGGUGCUAGCGUUAAUCGGAUUUAUUGGGCGUAAAGGGCGUGUAGGCGGAAAGGAAAGUUAGAUGUUAAAUCUUGGGGCUCAACCCCAAAACAGCAUCUAAUACUAUCUUUCUAGAGGUUAGAUGGAGAAAAGGGAAUUCCACGUGUAGCGGUGAAAUGCGUAGAUAUGUGGAAGAACACCAGUGGCGAAGGCGCUUUUCUAAUUUAUCCUGACGCUAAGGCGCGAAAGCAAGGGGAGCAAACAGGAUUAGAUACCCUGGUAGUC